rnacentral:rRNA from 1 species
GUACACACCGCCCGUCACACCAUGGGAUUUGGAUUCACCCGAAGGCACUGCGUUAACCCGCAAGGGAGACAGGUGGCCACGGUGGGUUUAGAGACUGGGGUGAAGUCGUAACAAGGUAGCCGUAGGUGAACCUGCAGAAGGAUCA